rnacentral:rRNA from 1 species
UACAGAGGUCUCAAGCGUUGUUCGGAUUCAUUGGGCGUAAAAGGUGCGUAGGCGGCGCGGUAAGUCGGGUGUGAAAUCUUGGAGCUUAACUCCGAAACUGCAUUCGAUACUGCCGUGCUUGAGGACUGGAGAGGAGACUGGAAUUUACGGUGUAGCGGUGAAAUGCGCAGAUAUCAGGAGGAACACCGGUGGCGAAGGCGGGUCUCUGGGCCGAUACUGACGCUGAGGAGCGAAAGCGUGGGGAGCGAACAGG